GCAUCCGUAGCUCAGCUGGAUAGAGUACUCGGCUACGAACCGAGCGGUCGGAGGUUCGAAUGCUCCCGGAUGCACCA
rnacentral:tRNA from 1 species